UAUGUAGGCGGCGCUGUUAGUCGGGUGUGAAAUCCCUCGGCUCAACCGAGGAAUUGCGCCCGAUACUGCAGUGCUUGAGGGAGACAGAGGUAAGCGGAACUGAUGGUGGAGCGGUGAAAUGCGUUGAUAUCAUCAGGAACACCGGUGGCGAAAGCGGCUUACUGGGUCUCUUCUGACGCUGAGAUACGAAAGCUAGGGGAGGCGAAGG
rnacentral:rRNA from 1 species